CGAACGGUCCUUUUCAGGACCAACACGAAGUAUUUAACAAGGGAAGU
rfam:Trachymyrmex cornetzi contig35172, whole genome shotgun sequence.